rnacentral:rRNA from 1 species
AUACGGAGGAUGCGAGCGUUAUCCGGAUUUAUUGGGUUUAAAGGGAGCGUAGGCGGGAGCUUAAGUCAGCGGUUAAAUGGUGCGGCUCAACCGUGCCCUGCCGUUGAAACUGGGUUUCUUGAGGGCGAAAGAGGCGGAUGGAAUUCCGGGGGGAGGGGGGAAAUGCUUAGAUAUCAUGAAGAACUCCGAUUGCGAAGGCAGUCCGCUGGGGCACGUCUGACGCUGAUGCUCGAAGGUGCGGGAAUCAAACAGGAUUAGAUACCCUGGUAGUCCGCACGGUAAACGAUGAUUACCCGCUGUCGGCGGCAGACAGUCGGCGGCCAAGCGAAAGCGAUAAGUAAUCCACCUGGGGAGUACGCCGGCAACGGUGAAACUCAAAUGAAUUGACGGGG